CCGGAGCUUGCUCCACCGGAAAAAGAGGAGUGGCGAACGGGUGAGUAACACGUGGGUAACCUGCCCAUCAGAAGGGGAUAACACUUGGAAACAGGUGCUAAUACCGUAUAACAAUCGAAACCGCAUGGUUUUGAUUUGAAAGGCGCUUUCGGGUGUCGCUGAUGGAUGGACCCGCGGUGCAUUAGCUAGUUGGUGAGGUAACGGCUCACCAAGGCGACGAUGCAUAGCCGACCUGAGAGGGUGAUCGGCCACAUUGGGACUGAGACACGGCCCAAACUCCUACGGGAGGCAGCAGUAGGGAAUCUUCGGCAAUGGACGAAAGUCUGACCGAGCAACGCCGCGUGAGUGAAGAAGGUUUUCGGAUCGUAAAACUCUGUUGUUAGAGAAGAACAAGGAUGAGAGUAACUGUUCAUCCCUUGACGGUAUCUAACCAGAAAGCCACGGCUAACUACGUGCCAGCAGCCGCGGUAAUACGUAGGUGGCAAGCGUUGUCCGGAUUUAUUGGGCGUAAAGCGAGCGCAGGCGGUUUCUUAAGUCUGAUGUGAAAGCCCCCGGCUCAACCGGGGAGGGUCAUUGGAAACUGGGAGACUUGAGUGCAGAAGAGGAGAGUGGAAUUCCAUGUGUAGCGGUGAAAUGCGUAGAUAUAUGGAGGAACACCAGUGGCGAAGGCGGCUCUCUGGUCUGUAACUGACGCUGAGGCUCGAAAGCGUGGGGAGCAAACAGGAUUAGAUACCCUGGUAGUCCACGCC
rnacentral:rRNA from 1 species